rnacentral:rRNA from 1 species
UACCAGCUCUCCGAGUGGUAGGGAUGAUUAUUGGGCUUAAAGCGUCCGUAGCCGGCUUAGCAAGUUUCCUGUUAAAUUCAGCGACCUAAUCGUUGAGCCGCGGGAAAUACUACUAGGCUAGGAGGCGGGAGAGGUCGACGGUACUUCUGGGGUAGGGGUGAAAUCCUAUAAUCCCGGGAGGACCACCAGUGGCGAAGGCUGUCGACUAGAACGCGCUCGACGGUGAGGGACGAAAGCUGGGGGAGCGAACCGGAUUAGAUACCCGGGUAGUCCCAGCUGUAAACGAUGCGGGCUAGGUGUUGGGGUGGCUGCGUGCCACUUCAGUGCCGCAGGGAAGCCAUUAAGCCCGCCGCCUGGGGAGUACGGCCGCAAGGCUGAAACUUAAAGGAAUUGGCGGGGGAGCACCACAAGGCGUGAAGCUUGCGGUUC